rnacentral:rRNA from 1 species
UACGGAGGGUGCAAGCGUUAUCCGGAUUCACUGGGUUUAAAGGGUGCGUAGGCGGACAGGUAAGUCAGUGGUGAAAUCUCUGGGCUUAACCCAGAAACUGCCGUUGAUACUAUUUGUCUUGAAUAUCCUGGAGGUAGGCGGAAUAUGUCAUGUAGCGGUGAAAUGCUUAGAUAUGACAUAGAACACCGAUAGCAAAGGCAGCUUACUACAGGAUGAUUGACGCUGAGGCACGAAAGCGUGGGGAGCAAACAGG